GACGAACGCUGGCGGCGCGCCUAACACAUGCAAGUCGAACGGAGCUGAGAGAAGCUUGCUUUUCUUAGCUUAGUGGCGAACGGGUGAGUAACGCGUGAGUAACCUGCCCUGGAGUGGGGGACAACAGUUGGAAACGACUGCUAAUACCGCAUAAGCCCACGAUCCGACAUCGGGUUGAGGGAAAAGGAUUUAUUCGCUUCAGGAUGGACUCGCGUCCAAUUAGCUAGUUGGUGAGGUAACGGCCCACCAAGGCGACGAUUGGUAGCCGGACUGAGAGGUUGAACGGCCACAUUGGGACUGAGACACGGCCCAGACUCCUACGGGAGGCAGCAGUGGGGGAUAUUGCACAAUGGGGGAAAACCUGAUGCAGCGACGCCGCGUGGAGGAAGAAGGUUUUCGGAUUGUAAACUCCUGUCGUUAGGGACGAUAAUGACGGUACCUAACAAGAAAGCACCGGCUAACUACGUG
rnacentral:rRNA from 1 species